UGUCCCUCCCGCUCGGUUCCUAUGGACGAGGCGGAGCCGCCGCAGGGCUGCACGAAAGCGGCCUCAUACCUUUCCCGAGGGGUCACCCACCACCACCGGGCUCGCACCUCUCGUGCUGUUAUUCACGGCAUCCUACCGACAGAUGUUUGCAAAACCCCGUUUUCCCACUGCUGCCCCGGGAACCGAGGGAAAAAAUCAGUGACAGCUACAUGAGUUAAAAGCACGGAAUAAGGGGGAAAGUUUAUGGCUCUCCCCCUUCGCAGCCAACGGAGUCAGACGUUCAUGUAAACACUUGUGAAUCUUAUUGGGAGGAAGUUUUCAGGGGGCAAGAAAUGGGCAGCAAAAAGUCUGCCUAAUGCCAACCGCUUCUUUGUGGAGACCAACGAGAUUCCCUUUGUUAUAACAGGGAACGCGUCCGCUGCUGUGAGCCCGGGCUGUGGGUCGGGGCUCCGGGGGAGGGUUUAAACCAGAAGAGCCAUGGAAAGGUGUGUGUGUGCUCAGCACCGGGCAACUCCGACUGCACGGCGUGAUUUUCCUCUCGGUGCCUUCAGAGAAACAGCCCUCUUCCUCGGAAGGCAAUAGAAAUGUCACCGGGCAUCAUCGGCACCGACGCCUGGACAUCAUGGGGGGAGCACUGACUUAAUAUUCCACAAAAGAGCGUGGCUGAAGACUCAAUACUCUCUCGACCCUCUCCCCUCGUUCCGUCAGCUCUUCUUCUUGCUGCUGCUUCAUCAGAUCACUCUCCCAGAACUCAGCGACAGAAAGGACCCAACAGAUCGAGGGAUGUGCACACGAAGUUUCCCCUUGUCGUCGCAGCACAGCUUUUUAAGCGCCCCAGGUGCUGCGGGCUCCUCGCAAAGCCUCGCUGCGCUGUGAUGGAUCUCGGGCUCUGAUCAAAUCCUGCUGUUCCUCGCUACGCAGGAAGUCUUUCCAAAUUAGUCUAACACCAGGGCCGAGCACUGUGACUAAUAGGCAUAACUGCACAGUUCACGCUAUCUGUAGGGCAGGUUCAGCAGGGGAAACGGCGGCACCAGGAAUGUGCUGCUGCCCGGAGUCAGGCGAACUCUUCGAGACAAAGAUCAGGGGAAUUAUCGGAGAGGCGAAACAAUCUCAGCAUAAAUAAUGGUGCAGCCUUACGUUGCUCGGGAGGCAGUUCGUCACUAACGGCUCUGGAUUCACUGAAGGAAGAAGAAAGAGGGCAUACAGCAGCCCUCGGGGCAGGCAGCCACGCCUCGGGAUCCCACGGGCUGGGGCUGAGCGGAAGGGCUGUGACCCACAGCGUUAAUUGCAGUCCACGUGGAGCUGAGAGCGUUCUGUUCAGCACCGGUCAUCAGAUCUCGUCCUACUUUACCUUCAGUUGUGUCCAAUGAUUUGUGUCUGACAAAAGCACGUUUUUCAGGAAAUUAGAAAAAAAAAAAAUCAAUAACUGGAUUUGCCACUUCCCUGGGCAGAAUCUUACAAAUGAGUGCUUUCCUUUACAUGUGAAUCUGUCCAGCCUCAUCCUGCCGUUAUUUGUUCAGGCUGUGCCUUUCCUUAUCGUUUUAAAAAGAGCCUCCACACCUCACUUUACAGCUCGUGGGGUAUUUCACGUUGUAAUCCAGUCCCUUAAGAAAGGAUACGCUUCCAGAGAGCCUUGUGUGGCAGUCCGGGGUUUCAAACGUAUGGGGUGGAGGUCAGGGGCUCUCCUCCACGCUCUUCAAAAUGUCAGUGUCCCUUUGAAAAAAGUCUGAGUGUGACAAGGCAUCGUAACCCUGCCUGGACACGGAGAUGAGGGGAAGGAUGGGAGGAAGAGGGGUGAUCUGGGCAGCUGGGAGAGGGAGCCCAGGAGUCACAAUUUGGUAUUGGCUGAAGACAAAACUUUAUUUUGUCAGAUGCACGCAAUUCGCAGUUACCUUUUUGAAUAUAUAUUGCUGGGAAGCUUCCCCU
rnacentral:lncRNA from 1 species